CGGAUGACAAAUCAGUAUGUAUAACUUCGCUCAACUACUAGGCCUACUACUACACGCAUCUAUGCGCGGUAUGCCGGUGGGCGAAAUGCAGAACUGAUUUCACUUACACCUGAAAAACCCGCGCCAAUGCGCGGGUUUUUUU
rfam:Serratia sp. ATCC 39006 ctg4, whole genome shotgun sequence.